rnacentral:rRNA from 1 species
UACGGAGGGUGCAAGCGUUGUCCGGAUUUAUUGGGUUUAAAGGGUGCGUAGGCGGCUUAUUAAGUCAGCGGUGAAAUUAUCCGGCUCAACUGGGUCACUGCCGUUGAUACUGAUGAGCUUGAGUGUUGACGAAGAGGGCAGAAUUGAAGGUGUAGCGGUGAAAUGCAUAGAUAUCCUCAAGAAUACCGAUUGCGAAGGCAGCUCUCUAGGGAACAACUGACGCUGAGGCACGAAAGCGUGGGUAGCAAACAGG